rnacentral:rRNA from 1 species
AGUGAACGCUGGCGGUAGGCCUAACACAUGCAAGUCGAACGGCAGCACAGUAAGAGCUUGCUCUUACGGGUGGCGAGUGGCGGACGGGUGAGGGAUACAUCGGAAUCUACUUUUUCGUGGGGGAUAACGUAGGGAAACUUACGCUAAUACCGCAUACGACCUACGGGUGAAAGCAGGGGAUCUUCGGACCUUGCGCGAUUGAAUGAGCCGAUGUCGGAUUAGCUAGUUGGCGGGGUAAAGGCCCACCAAGGCGACGAUCCGUAGCUGGUCUGAGAGGAUGAUCAGCCACACUGGAACUGAGACACGGUCCAGACUCCUACGGGAGGCAGCAGUGGGGAAUAUUGGACAAUGGGCGCAAGCCUGAUCCAGCCAUACCGCGUGGGUGAAGAAGGCCUUCGGGUUGUAAAGCCCUUUUGUUGGGAAAGAAAAGCAGCAGGUUAAUACCCCGCUGUUCUGACGGUACCCAAAGAAUAAGCACCGGCUAACUUCGU